GCGCCCUUAGCUCAGAUGGAUAGAGCAACGGCCUUCUAAGCCGUAGGUCACAGGUUCGAACCCUGUAGGGCGUACCA
rnacentral:tRNA from 1 species